rnacentral:tRNA from 1 species
UGGGUUGUGGCUCAGUGGUAGAGCACUUGCCUAGCAUGUAUGAGGCACUGGGUUCAAUUCUCAGCACUACAU